GACGAACGCUGGCGGCGUGCUUAACACAUGCAAGUCGAACGAUGAAACCUAGCUUGCUAGGUCGAUUAGUGGCGAACGGGUGAGUAACACGUGACUAACCUGCCCCUUUCUCUGGGAUAACGCUCCGAAAGGAGUGCUAAUACCGGAUACUCACACCGAGGCACAUGCCUUGGUGUGGAAAGUUUUUCGGAAAGGGAUGGAGUCGCGGCCUAUCAGCUUGUUGGUGAGGUAACGGCUCACCAAGGCGGCGACGGGUAGCCGGCCUGAGAGGGCGACCGGCCACACUGGGACUGAGACACGGCCCAGACUCCUACGGGAGGCAGCAGUGGGGAAUAUUGCACAAUGGGCGCAAGCCUGAUGCAGCGACGCCGCGUGAGGGAUGAAGGUCUUCGGAUUGUAAACCUCUUUCAGUAGGGACGAAGCGAAAGUGACGGUACCUAAAGAAGAAGCACCGGCUAACUACGUGCCAGCCGCCGCCGUAA
rnacentral:rRNA from 1 species